rnacentral:rRNA from 1 species
UACGGAGGGUGCGAGCGUUGUCCGGAAUCACUGGGCGUAAAGGGCGCGUAGGUGGCGCGGGCAGUCAACGGUGAAAGUUCGGGGCUCAACCCUGAAUCGGCCGUCGAUACUCCCGGGCUUGAGCACUGUAGAGGCAGAUGGAAUUCCGGGUGUAGCGGUGGAAUGCGUAGAUAUCAGGAGGAACACCGAUGGCGAAGGCAGGUCUCUGGGCAUUAACUGACGCUGAGGAGCGAAAGCAUGGGGAGCGAACAGG